UAAAUAGUAAUCGAACUGUCGUAUAGCGUUGAUAAUAUGGAUCAACAGUUUCUACCAAAUCACCGUAAAUGAUUUGACUACGAUAAGGAAUUAU
rnacentral:ncRNA from 1 species